rnacentral:rRNA from 1 species
AAUCUUCUACAAUGGGCGAAAGCCUGAUGGAGCAACGCCCGUGAGUGAAGAAGGUUUUCGGAUCGUAAAACUCUGGUGUAAGGGAAGAACAAGUACAGUAGUAACUGGCUGUACCUUGACGGUACGUUAUUAGAAAGCCACGGCUAACUACGUCACAGCAGCCGCGGUAAUACGUAGGUGGCAAGCGUUGUCCGGAAUUAUUGGGCGUAAAGCGCGCGCAGGCGGUCCUUUAAGUCUGAUGUGAAAGCUCGCGGCUCAAACGUGGAGGGUCAUUGGAAACUGGGGGACUUGAGGGCAGAAGAGGAAAGUGGAAUUCCAAGUGUAGCGGUGAAAUGCGUAGAGAUUUGGAGGAACACCAGUGGCGAAGGCGACUUUCUGGUCUGUAACUGACGCUGAGGCGCGAAAGCGUGGGGAACAAAC